rnacentral:rRNA from 1 species
GACGAACGCUGGCGGCGUGCUUAACACAUGCAAGUCGAACGGAAAGGCCCUGCUUUUGUGGGGUGCUCGAGUGGCGAACGGGUGAGUAACACGUGAGUAACCUGCCCUUGACUUUGGGAUAACUUCAGGAAACUGGGGCUAAUACCGGAUAGGAGCUCCUGCUGCAUGGUGGGGGUUGGAAGGUUUCGGCGGUUGGGGAUGGACUCGCGGCUUAUCAGCUUGUUGGUGGGGUAGUGGCUUACCAAGGCUUUGACGGGUAGCCGGCCUGAGAGGGUGACCGGUCACAUUGGGACUGAGAUACGGCCCAGACUCCUACGGGAGGCAGCAGUGGGGAAUAUUGCACAAUGGGCGGAAGCCUGAUGCAGCAACGCCGCGUGCGGGAUGACGGCCUUCGGGUUGUAAACCGCUUUCGCCUGUGACGAAGCGUGAGUGACGGUAAUGGGUAAAGAAGCACCGGCUAACUACGU